rnacentral:misc_RNA from 1 species
AAGUCGUAACAAGGUUUCCGUAGGUGAACCUGCGGAAGGAUCAUUACCGAGAGUGACGGACGCCGGCGGCGCCGUCCCGGGGGCCCCGCCCCCGACCUCUUCAACCCUGUGAAUAUUUGCCCUUGUUGCUUCGGCGAGCGUCGAGGCCUUUCGCGCCUCGGCCCCGGCUCCGGCCGGUGAGCUCUCGCCCGAGGCCCUCUCCAUUCGGCUCUACAGUGACGUCCGAGGAUUUGCAAUCAAUAUCAAAACUUUCAACAACGGAUCUCUUGGUUCUG